UACGUAGGGUGCAAGCGUUGUCCGGAAUUAUUGGGCGUAAAGAGCUCGUAGGCGGUCUGUCGCGUCGGCUGUGAAAUCCCGAGGCUCAACCUCGGGUCUGCAGUCGAUACGGGCAAACUGGAGUGUUGCAGGGGAGACUGGAAUUCCUGGUGUAGCGGUGAAAUGCGCAGAUAUCAGGAGGAACACCGGUGGCGAAGGCGGCAUCCUGGACCAACACUGACACUGAGGAGCGAAAGCCAGGGGAGCAAACGGG
rnacentral:rRNA from 1 species